rnacentral:lncRNA from 1 species
CGGCGCGGCGCGCCCUGUCCAUGGUGCGGGCGGCGGCGGCGCGGGUGUCCCCGCGGCGGGAGCGCGGCGGCGCGGGGCUGUAUGGACGUGAUGUCCCCGCAACAGGAGCACCUCGGCCCGGGCCGCUCGUCCUCGGUGAGCGGCGAGAGCAGGGGCUUUGCCGCCGCCGCCGACAGCAAGAAGUCAGUGGAGGAGAACUUCAGACAAGAUGAACUGUGCCCUAAAUUAUCCUUUUCUCUCUGAGGGCUGAAAAAGGAGCACAGGGCAGACAGCUCAGGUGUGUGAGUCAGAGGCUGGGGGAGAGGAAUCUUCCUGCAUGUGUCUGACCAUGGCAUGGGUGAGGUAGCACAACCUGGCAAUGUGGGCAGUGUGCUCCUGGGGAAUCACCGUGCACAGUCCCUGAAUUAGCCCGCCUGCUCUGACCUCCAGUACAUCUGCAGUAGCUGCAGCACUUAUUGCAUAGAUUUCUACCUUCUCUAGAUACUUGAAAAUAUGAUAAACACCAUAUAUGCAUUACUUAAGUUACUUGGCAACACAAAAUAAAUAGUAAGUACCAUUAUUUUUUUCA